AAAUGAAUAGACGGGGGCCCGCACAAGCGGUGGAGCAUGUGGUUUAAUUCGAAGCAACGCGAAGAACCUUACCAGGUCUUGACAUCUUUUGAUCACCUGAGAGAUCAGGUUUCCCCUUCGGGGGCAAAAUGACAGGUGGUGCAUGGUUGUCGUCAGCUCGUGUCGUGAGAUGUUGGGUUAAGUCCCGCAACGAGCGCAACCCUUAUGACUAGUUGCCAGCAUUUAGUUGGGCACUCUAGUAAGACUGCCGGUGACAAACCGGAGGAAGGUGGGGAUGACGUCAAAUCAUCAUGCCCCUUAUGACCUGGGCUACACACGUGCUACAAUGGAUGGUACAACGAGUUGCGAGACCGCGAGGUCAAGCUAAUCUCUUAAAGCCAUUCUCAGUUCGGACUGUAGGCUGCAACUCGCCUACACGAAGUCGGAAUCGCUAGUAAUCGCGGAUCAGCACGCCGCGGUGAAUACGUUCCCGGGCCUUGUACACACCGCCCGU
rnacentral:rRNA from 1 species